GACGAACCGUGCGAACGUUAUUCGGAAUCAUUGGGCUUAAAGGGCGCGUAGGCGGCGGUGUAAGUUGGAAGUGAAAUCCCAUCGGCUCAACCGUGGAAUUGCUCCCAGUACUGCACUGCUCGAGGGGGAUAGGGGUUUGCGGAACUACCGGUGGAGCGGUGAAAUGUGUUGAUAUCGGUGGGAACGCCAGUGGCGAAAGCGGCAAACUUGACCCUUCCUGACGCUGCAGCGCGAAAGCUAGGGGAGCAAACGGG
rnacentral:rRNA from 1 species